GUUAUUUCACGCCUACUAAAUAAGCUGCUAUACAGUAAGCCCAGUGGUGACCCGAUAUCAUCGUGAAUACCUAUCUGUGAAUCUUACUUUUAAAGUUUAAAAAUGACGUCUCAAAAAUAGCAGGAACCAACAUUAGUUAUCCAGAAUACCAGAAUUUUGGUGCGAACAACCACGACUUUGGUUUUUUCAUAGCGAUGCCAUCUUUGUUUCUUAAAAAAUAUCGGAUGAAGCGCGAUUUUGCUAAAUUGUCACUAAAUUAGCUAAAGACGUUAUACAGUAGGUCAGUGACAUAUUGCUUAUACCGCCAGAAGUCAAGAAAUGUGAUACCCUGAAAGAGCCAUUAUUAAAGACCUACGAAGAAUCGGAAAUUAGACCGUGUCAAAAACUAUUAAGUGAAAUGGAACUUGGGGAUCAGAAACCAUCUCAGCUUCUACGGCGAAUGAGAGAUCUGGCACGUGAUACAAUUUCGGACGAGACAUUAAGUAUAAUGUAGCAAAGGCCUGCAAAGCAUCUGCCUCUAUCAGUUAGAGGUGUUCUAGCAGUCAGUGAGAUUUCGUCACAGAGCAAAGAAAUAUAUGGAGCCGUUACAUGAUGUGGAGAAAGUGCAAGGAAGGUUACGCGCGCUAUAUAAGACGAGAGCUCCAGGACGAAGAACUGGCGACAAUCACAGUGCGUCGAGGGGUUACACAACCCGAACUGACGAAGAGGAUAGUGAAAGAUUAAUGACCGUAUUUUUAGGUCCACUUGAAGAAGUUAAAGAAUCCUCAUCACCAUGACACUUACGUGAUACAUUUGGAGUUUCCCGUUUGGUAUAAGAGGAUAAUUGUAAAUUAAUAUUCAUAGGAUCACUGGGAUUAGAAGGUAACGGGGGAGGAUCACCAUCCAUUUUAUACAACUGUAGAUAUAAAAAUUUACAAAUACAAAACAGAUAAGUACUUACAAAAAGGAUGCAAUAGGUUAGUAAAACAACCAACCAACUACGAGAUAAUAAUACACACAAACUAAAACUAAACACUAUUCUGACUUAAGGCAACCCGCGAAAAUAUAGAAAAAUGAUGGAUUAACAACACCAAAGUUUCCAUCACACGUGUGUCAACCAACUCCAAUAAAUCCUAUUAAUUAAUUAUUAAUGAUAAUUUAAUGUCCACUGUCAAACCAACAAUUUGACAAUAAACUUAAAGUAACUGGA